GGGGGGACCUGAUCAGCCAUGCCGCGUGUGUGAAGAAGGCCUUUUGGUUGUAAAGCACUUUAAGCGAGGAGGAGGAGCUUCAGGUUAAUACCCUGGAUGCUUGGACGUUACUCGCAGAAUAAGCACCGGCUAACUCUGUGCCAGCAGCCGCGGUAAUACAGAGGGUGCAAGCGUUAAUCGGAUUUACUGGGCGUAAAGCGUGCGU
rnacentral:rRNA from 1 species